AUAUCAAAUGUAAAUAACUGCAUAGUCUUCACUGUUUACAACUAAAUAUAGAUUAAUCGUUUUUGAUGUUACAAAGGUUAUUUAGGUGUUUUUAUAUAUAUAUAUAUAUAUAUAUAUAUAUAUAUAAUUGCAUAGGUUUAUAAUAAUAAUAAUAAUAAUUUCAAACUCAUUUAAAUACUGACCUAUGACAUCCUGUGACAUGACAUGUAUCUGAAUUUACACAAACUCAUGAUGUUACAGUAAAACAGUUCAGCUCACAGAUGAAGACUAAGCUGUAAUGCCAGCAAAUGUUUAUAGAUCAUUAAAAGUAUUUUUUAAAAUGGUUAUAGAUCAUGAAAUGUGUUACAAGAAUUUUAUGUAUAUUCUUUGUGUGUGUGUGUGUGUGUGUGUUAGAGAGAGAGAGAGAGAGAGAGAGAACUCACAUUAUUAAAUGCUAGGGCUGGGCGAUAUGACGAUUUAAAUCGGAUGGACGAAAUUAAAAGUCUAUCGAUUCAUGUUGUGCUCUAUCGUUUAUUUUGUGGUGCCGCAAAAUACAUUGUUUACGGCAAUACGUUUUCAUUAUUUGAAUGACGGCAGUCACAUGCAUUACACGUGUAUGCAGACAGACGCGUGAAUAACAGCAUGCGCGCGCUCACGUCACGUUGCUGUGCGCGUGGUCAUGGUUUUUAAGCACUGCAGUUUGACCCCUUAACAGUAUACCCCCAUUUUCGGCAUAGAGACAGAAAUGACAUACCCAAAAUAAAAAGGUUUCUGCUCAUGAGUCUUUCUGACUAGAUACAUAAUCAACAUAUGUUCACAAAGCUGACACUUCAAAGUUUACUGUUCAAGAAUCAGAAUUACUCAGAAUUACUCAGUUAUGAUAAUAAAGAUAUAUAAGCUCAAACAUAAAAACAAAAAUAUAAAAAAAAAAACCUUUGCACUUAGCUAAGUGUUGCUAGCAUGUUUUAGUAGGUUUCUAACAUGUUGCCAGUGUAUUUAUCACUUUCUGACACUUUUUAAUAUGUUGUUAGGAGUCCAUAAUAGUGUUAAACAUGACACUUCCUGUUGCCAGCAGGUGGUGCUAUGACUAUAACCGAAUAUGGGCAUGUUGAUGUGUUCAGGACAGGACUCUUGUCAAACGUGUGAAGUUUGGGGCAGAUCGGACAUUGCUUGCAUAAGUUACAGCAACUUCCUUUUUCACUACAUUAGUAGCAUGCUUUAGCACUUAGCUAAGUGUUGCAGACACUAAUGCUGUGUUCACACCAAACGCGAAUAGAGCGUCUGGCGCGAAUGAUUUCAAUGUUAAGUCAAUGUAAAGACGCGUUUACGCGCGUCUGGAGGUCUCGCGGCGCGAAUGAGGCGUUUAGCGCGGCGCGGUAGACGCGAAUUCGCCUCAUU
ensembl:lncRNA